rnacentral:rRNA from 1 species
AGAUCCAUUUUCUGCCACCGAAUACAUUAGCAUGGGAUAAUGGAAUAGGACCCUGUCCUCCUAUUUUCAGUUGGUUUUGGCAGCGCGAGGACUAGGGUAAUGAUUAAUAGGGAUAGUUGGGGGCAUUAAUAUUUAAUUGUCAGAGGUGAAAUUCUUGGAUUUAUGAAAGAUUAACUUCUGCGAAAGCAUCUGCCAAGGAUGUUUUCAUUAAUCAAGAACGAAAGUUAGGGGAUCGAAGACGAUCAGAUACCGUCGUAGUCUUAACCAUAAACGAUGCCGACCAGCGAUUAGGAGACGUUGAAUACAAAACACCACCAUCGGUGGGGCCGUCCUUGGUGUCGUCGUCCUUUCCGGGGGCGGGGGGGGAGGGCUGAUUCCCGUGGUGGCGGCGAUUGAUGCCUCC